UCAACUAUUUAUAUUACGUAAUGACGAAACGAGCACGAAAUAGCACACGAAUGGGGACUAGACCGCUGGUUUGUUGUUGUGAUGGGAAGCUUUUUGUAAACAUGCUGAAUCUGUAUUUUCGUCUGUCCGUCGUCUAGUCUGCUGUGAAGGCGAAUGUCAUCAUAGAAAUAGGAAUUCACAUCAAAUAACAGAGCACAGCCAGCCGGAGAAUAAGUGCAAAUUUCAGUAAGACCACAGGGGUUUUGAGGUCUACUGCUGAACAGAGAAAAUCUCCACUAGGAUAGUUCUUCGAUGGAGGUUGCCAAGCAAUCUGUGACACAGGAACCUCUGUUUUGGCCAACAGUCGUCGAGGAAUAGAUUUCUAAGCUUGAUGGGAGCUGCACCUCUAGUCAAUCUCGUCAAAGUAAAGGGUCUACUGCUGAACAGAGAAAAUCUCCACUAGGAUAGUUCUUCGAUGGAGGUUGCCAAGCAAUCUGUGACACAGGAACCUCUGUUUUGGCCAACAGUCGUCGAGGAAUAGAUUUCUAAGCUUGAUGGGAGCUGCACCUCUAGUCAAUCUCGUCAAAGUAAAGGAAACGAAGAGGGGAGACACACUUUGCAUGAGUGGACUCAUCAGAAUGGACUUCCCUACACCCCUGGGCGCUCUUUGGAUCCUGGGUGACAUAUUCAUUGGUAAAUACUACUCAAGUUUGAUCAAGUGAACAACCCGUGCAGGUUUUGCUGAUGCUGUCAAGGGUGUGGAAAUCAAGGCUGAGUAAGAAACCUACUUUGUAAAUUGGAAGGAAUAUUACUUAAGGCUUUAAGAAAAAACUAUUAUAGGUUGGCCAAACAAAAAUAUAAUUAUGUUUCCUAUUACACUGAAUAAUUACAAGGGUUUUAUGGCACUGCAGGCUUUAACCAUUUAAACAGUGCUGGUAGGAAUUAUCAUGCAAAAUAAAAUUUAAUUUACAUUCGUUGAUUAUUGCAAUUGGUUGCACAAAAUAAAUUAACUCAGAUGGACCAUCAGUAAAUCUGAAAUUUUUUGAAAAAUAUUAUGGCAAAUAAUAUAGAAAUAUCGCCUACCUAUCCACCCUACUUUUUCCAGUGUAAAAGGAGACAAGACAAACAAUUUGUUUGGCCUUCAUUUCAUUCAUUCAGUCGAUGCGGAGCAUCGGAUGAUGGCCCUCCAAACACGUUGGUCCUCCAACACCUAACAAUUUUGUUCUCGAACUGCUGUACUCGCCAUGUUUUCAGUAUUACAGGAUACUUUACACAUGACUAUCAUUUUGUUUGGCCAAAUAAAAUUUUAUACCAAAAAAUGUUGCCCACCUGUGUAUUUUACGUGUGAUUUUUUCAUUGUAAAAUUUUCCACCUUUGUGUUUGGCCCAAAAUAAUAUGAAGAAAAGAAAACUGUUUUGCCCAUCCACCAACCCAUUACUUUGUAAGGGCAAACAUGACUUUCUUGUUAAAGUGGCCAAACUUUGAUAACAAUUGUAAAAGACGCUGCCCACCUGUACUUUCCUUUUUUAAUUGGAAACUUGACUAUAAUUUCUGUUUGGCCCUAACUACAUACACCCACAAAUUGUUCAUCAAAGUGGGAAAAAUAACUUGGCCAAACUGUGAACAAAUGGGUAUUUUCAACUUCUUUUUCUUUUUAGGGCACUGUAGAAAAAAAAACACCUUGCCUACAUUUCGAGUCCCUUUUUUCACUUUAAUGGGAAACAUGAUUUUAUUUCACUCACACUCAAAAUAAAACAUUCCAAUGUACAUUAAACACAGGAAGCAAAAUAGUGUCAUUUUGUUGAGCUCAAGUGUGACCACUUUAUAAUUUGUUGAAAUUUUAACAGGAUUUAAACUGAAUGACUCCAAAACAAAUGCUGUUAAAAGCUUUUUUUAUCUUAAAGGCACUGGACUUUAUUGGUAAUUACUCAAAAUAAUUGCUAGCAUAAAACCUUACUUGGUUCC